rnacentral:rRNA from 1 species
GUCGUAACAAGGUCUCCGUUGGUGAACCAGCGGAGGGAUCAUUACUGAGUUACCGCUCUAUAACCCUUUGUGAACGUACCUAACCGUUGCUUCGGCGGGCAGGGGAAGCCUCUCGCGGGCCUCCCCUCCCGGCGCCGGCCCCCACCACGGGGACGGGGCGCCCGCCGGAGGAAACCAAACCCUAUUUACACGACGUCUCUUCUGAGUGGCACAAGCAAAUAAUUAAAACUUUUAACAACGGAUCUCUUGGUUCUGGCAUCGAUGAAGAACGCAGCGAAAUGCGAUAAGUAAUGUGAAUUGCAGAAUUCGGUGAAUCAUCGAAUCUUUGAACGCACAUUGCGCUCGCCAGCAUUCUGGCGAGCAUGCCUGUUCGUGCGUCAUUUCAACCCUCAAGUACCGCUUGGUUUUGUGGCCCCACGGCCGACGUGGGCCCUUAAAGGUAGUGGCGGACCCUCCCGGAGCCUCCUUUGCGUAGUAACUAACGUCUCGCACUGGGAUCCGGAGGGACUCUUGCCGUUAAACCCCCAAAUUCUUUACAGGUUGACCUCGGAUCAGGUAGGAAUACCCGCU